GGGUCAGUAGGUUGGUCGUGCCACCGGUACGUACUGGUCUCACUGAUUCCUCCUUCCUGAAGAACCGUAAUGCCAUUAAUUUGGUGUUGCGGGGAAACAGGACUGUUACUUUGAAAAAAUUAGAGUGUUUAAAGCAAGCUAACGCUUGAAUUCAUUAGCAUGGAAUAAUGAAAUAGGACGAUCGAUCCUAUUUUGUUGGUUUCUAGGAUUGACGUA
rnacentral:rRNA from 1 species